rnacentral:rRNA from 1 species
CUCAAAUCAGGUAGGACUACCCGCUGAACUUAAGCAUAUCAAUAAGCGGAGGAAAAGAAACUANCAAGGAUUCCCCUAGUANCUGCGAGUGAAGCGGGAAGAGCUCAAAUUUAAAAUCUGGCGGCGUU